rnacentral:lncRNA from 1 species
CACCGCGCAGGACCUGUGGUGGGGCAAGUGAGUGUCUGGCUGUCUGCUCGAGCUCGGCACACGUUUCUGCUACCCUACCUACCGGUGUGUUUCUUCGCCGCUGACGUCCGUGGCUGACGAUCGGGUGCAGGGGCUCGCCCAACAUCGAGAUGGACGAGAAGACGUUCCUGAUCAACAGGGAGAGGGCCGUCGACUACCUCAACUCCCUGGAGAAGGUGUUCGUCAACGACCAGUACCUCAACUGGGACCCCGAGAACCGGAUCAAGGUCCGCAUCAUCUCCGCCAGGGCGUACCACUCCCUCUUCAUGCACAACAUGUAAGCCAACCCGCCCUACACCAUACUAUCAUCGUCUUC